rnacentral:tRNA from 1 species
GACCUUGUAGCUCAGUUGGCUAGAGCGUUGGCUGUACUAAAGCCUUCCCCUUGCUGACGUGGGUUCGAAUCUUACCGAGGCCG